UUGCAGUUUUAUCAAAAUCACACUGAGUAGUCCGAGGAUGUUAAAUCUGCCAACUCCCUCUCCCAGCUAUAUCUCCCCCCACAUAGGACAGAAGCACUGUACCCAUCUGUCUAUAUCUUAGCCUUCUUUAAAGCUGCAAACUCUAAACAUUUUUUCUUCUAAAACAACAAGAUAACUGUUCUUAAUUUUUUUUCAUUAAACUUUUUUCAGUUCACAGAACUUGAGAAAUCUCCAGACCACAAACUGAAACCACUGAUCAACACGUUUGUGGGCAAUAACUUCUUGUGCCAACAAAUUGCUUCCUUCAGACACAAACUUUAUGGUGCUUUUAACACUGAACUUGUUUGUUUGCCAAGAGAACUGUAGGAAAUGAAGAAAAAGAGAUAACGACUCACCUCUUUGUUUGAUAGAGCCACUAGAGCCUUGAAGUUUGCUUGAAAUUCUUCAACUGCACUUCCCAUUGAACCAGAACAUUCCAGAGGUGAGACUGGCUACAGAAUCAGGAUAUGAUCCAUGUGUCAUCUAAAAAGCAAUGUGGAAAGGUGUUG